rnacentral:rRNA from 1 species
GAGUUUGAUCCUGGCUCAGAACGAACGCUGGCGGCGUGCCUAACACAUGCAAGUCGAACGUGAUCCAGAGCUUGCUCUGGUGAAAGUGGCGCACGGGUGAGUAACGCGUGGAUAACCUACCCUGGUAUCCGGGAUAACAUUCCGAAAGGGGUGCUAAUACCGGAUAAGCCCGCGGGCUCUUUGGAGCUUGCGGGAAAAGGUGGCCUCUAUUUAUAAGCUACUGUAUCAGGAUGGGUCCGCGUACCAUUAGCUAGUUGGCGGUGUAACGGACCACCAAGGCGACGAUGGUUAGCUGGUCUGAGAGGAUGAUCAGCCACACUGGAACUGAGACACGGUCCAGACUCCUACGGGAGGCAGCAGUGGGGAAUUUUGCGCAAUGGGGGAAACCCUGACGCAGCAACGCCGCGUGAGUGAUGAAGGCCUUUGGGUCGUAAAGCUCUGUCAGAGGGGAAGAAAUGAUAUAGUGCUAAUACCACUUUAUCUUGACGGUACCCUCAAAGGAAGCACCGGCUAACUCCGUGCCAGCAGCCGCGGUAAUAC